rnacentral:misc_RNA from 1 species
CGUAGGUGAACCUGCGGAGGGAUCAUUACCGAGUUAUACAACUCAUCAACCCUGUGAACAUACCUAAAACGUUGCUUCGGCGGGAACAGACGGCCCUGUAACAACGGGCCGCCCCCGCCAGAGGACCCCUAACUCUGUUUUUAUAAUGUUUUUCUGAGUAAACAAGCAAAUAAAUUAAAACUUUCAACAACGGAUCUCUUGGCUCUGGCAUCGAUGAAGAACGCAGCGAAAUGCGAUAAGUAAUGUGAAUUGCAGAAUUCAGUGAAUCAUCGAAUCUUUGAACGCACAUUGCGCCCGCCAGUAUUCUGGCGGGCAUGCCUGUUCGAGCGUCAUUACAACCCUCAGGCCCCCGGGCCUGGCGUUGGGGAUCGGCGGAAGCCCCCUGUGGGCACACGCCGUCCCUCAAAUACAGUGGCGGUCCCGCCGCAGCUUCCAUUGCGUAGUAGCUAACACCUCGCAACUGGAGAGCGGCGCGGCCAUGCCGUAAAACACCCAACUUCUGAAUGUUGACCUCGAAUCAGGUAGGAAUACCCGCUGAACUUAAGCAUAUCAAUAAGCG